UGAGGAAUAUUGGUCAAUGGGCGAAAGCCUGAACCAGCAACGCCGCGUGAGGGAUGAAGGCCUUCGGGUCGUAAACCUCUUUUCUGGGAGACGAGACAAGGACGGUAUCCCAGGAAUAAGUCUCGGCUAACUACGUGCCAGCAGCCGCGGUAAAACGUAGGAGGCAAGCGUUAUCCGGAUUUACUGGGCGUAAAGCGCACGCAGGCGGCUGCGUAAGUCGGACGUGAAAGCUCCUGGCUCAACUGGGAGAGGUCGUUCGAAACUGCGCGGCUUGAGGUUGGAAGAGGAGAGCGGAAUUCCCGGUGUAGUGGUGGAAUGCGUAGAUAUCGGGAGGAACACCAGUGGCGAAAGCGGCUCUCUGGUCCACACCUGACGCUCAGGUGCGAAAGCGUGGGUAGCGAACGG
rnacentral:rRNA from 1 species